rnacentral:lncRNA from 1 species
GGCAUCACUAGAGCCAUGUCCACGACAACUAGUGCUUUGAAAUGGAUCAAGGAGAGGGAUGGUGAUGUAAUAUUAGGACUAUUAUUAUGUGUAGCUCCAAUUUUAAGUCGUAAUUUAGGAAAUAUAAUUAUGUUUAAUUUAGUUGCUUUUAUUUGAUAUUCUCCUUCAAAUAGAAUAUCUCAAACCCUAUAUAAAGGGCACUUUUGCAUUGUAAUAAAGAAACUUUUAAUGAAUGAAAUAAAUUGAAUUUCUUCCCCUCUUCUUAUCUCUUUUCUCCCUCCAUUCUCGUCUUCUCCCCUUUCCCCUUUUCCUACAAUUCUCACGUAACAUCUGGCGUCAGAUGGGGGGCAUCUUGGCAAAGCAAGGCCAAGAGAAUCGCACUGGCCAGCACUGUUUAUUUUAUUUGGACAGCUAGAAACACCAUAAUUUUUGAAGAUCUUAGACCACGUUCCGAUAUCAAUGUUAAACGGCUCAAAACACAUGUAUACAAAGCUCUAUUUUCAUUGUAUCCUUACAUUUUGAUUCAUUUUGAAUCUUUAGCAUUGGGUCUUUAGAUUGUUAUCAUUAUCACAGCAUCAAUGCUUAAAAGCUAAGAUAUUUAGAACAAAUCACUAAUUUUAUUAUUGAAACUAUUCCCUUUGUCCUCUUGGUACUUGGCCUUUCUAAAUGAUUCUCUAAUUUGCAAUUCCCAACUAGAUUUUCAUCGUUGAAGUAGAUUAUUAUUGGUAAUUCCCAGCAAUAUUUACAAUUUUAUACCCAUUUUCAAAUGGAAGGGUUAAAGCCCACGAUUAUUGUUGUUCUUCAUUGAAGCCUGUAAUUGAGGUCUUUCCAAAUCAAAACUUCCUGAUUUUUGCUAAAGACUCCUUUAACUUGAUGAAUUUCAAUAUUAAAUAAAAAGUUUAAAAAAAAUAAUAAAAAAAAAAUCUAAAUUUUCGAAACAUUUCAUAUGGUUUUCGAAGUGCUCUAAUUUUCAGAAUGGAAACUUUUGUGCAAUCUAUGGUGAACCUAUUAAUAUGAUUAUUCACAAUGUAUCACUUGUGUGAAGUAAAGAUUUCUAACCCUUGAGUACCACAUUCGUAUUUGAUGUAGGAUUACAUUUCUGUACACAUUUUGGUGAACCAUAGUGGUCUACAUUUUAGGCAACAUGUUUCUAUCAUCAAAUUACCUUUUAUUGUGCAUUAUACGGUGACCACCACAGUUGUGUACAAAUCCAUGCAAAUAGUUGUCCAUAUGCAAGGCCACACUACAAGUCUUAUCUUUAUGGAACUUACCCCAGGUUGAUCAACUGAAUUAACAGCAUAGCA